AUACGGAGGAUCCGAGCGUUAUCCGGAUUUAUUGGGAUUAAAGGGUGCGCAGGCGGCCAUUUAAGUCAGCGGUUAAAUCGUGGGGCUCAACCCCAUUCUGCCGUUGAUACUGGGUGGCUUGAUUGCGGUCGAGGUUGGCGGAAUUCGUUGUGUAGGGGUGAAAUGCAUAGAUAUGACGAAGAACACCGAUUGCGUAGGCAGCUGACCAGACCGCAAAUGACGCUCAUGCACGAAAGUGCGGGGAUCGAACAGGAUUAGAUACCCUGGUAGUCCGCACAGUAAACGAUGAAUACUUGUUUUCGGCGAUAUAAUGUCGGAGGCAAAGCGAAAGCGAUAAGUAUUCCACCUGGGGAGUACGCCGGCAACGGUGAAACUCAAAUGAAUUGGCGGGG
rnacentral:rRNA from 1 species